UACGUAGGGUGCGAGCGUUAAUCGGAAUUACUGGGCGUAAAGCGUGCGCAGGCGGUUCGUUGUGUCGGCGGUGAAAGCCCCGGGCUUAACCUGGGAAUGGCAUUGGAAACUGGCUCGCUGGAGUGUGGCAGAGGGGGGUGGAAUUCCGCGUGUAGCAGUGAAAUGCGUAGAGAUGCGGAGGAACACCGAUGGCGAAGGCAGCCCCCCUGGGCUAACACUGACGCUCGAGCACGAAAGCGUGGGGAGCAAACAGG
rnacentral:rRNA from 1 species